GAUGAACGCUAGCGGCAGGCUUAAUACAUGCAAGUCGAGGGACAGCACAGGUAGCAAUACUGGGUGGUAACCGGCAAACGGGUGCGGAACACGUACACAACCUUCCUUUAAGUGGGGGAUAGCCCAGAGAAAUUUGGAUUAAUACCCCGUAAUAUAGUUGAAUGGCAUCAUUUGAUUAUUAUAGCUACGGCGCUUAAUGAUGGGUGUGCGGCUGAUUAGAUAGUUGGCGGGGUAACGGCCCACCAAGUCUACGAUCAGUAGCUGAUGUGAGAGCAUGAUCAGCCACACGGGCACUGAGACACGGGCCCGACUCCUACGGGAGGCAGCAGUAAGGAAUAUUGGUCAAUGGACGCAAGUCUGAACCGGCCAUGCCGCGUGAAGGAUUAAGGUCCUCUGGAUUGUAAACUUCUUUUAUUUGGGACGAAAAAGGGCCUCUCUAGGUCAACUGACGGUACCAGAUGAAUAAGCACCGGCUAACUCCGUGCCAGCCGCCGCAGUAAGAC
rnacentral:rRNA from 1 species